rnacentral:lncRNA from 1 species
GUUAAGGGAGUGGGAUGAGCUCUAGAGCCCAGUGAGGAGGAACAAUAAAAAUAGUUCAUUCAUUACAUGCUCUCAUGAAAUGCAUCACAUCACAAACAUAUCAUCUCAAGGAUGAAUUUGUCACCAAUAACCCUCAACUACAUGUUAUAAUAAUGCCAACUGUGCCAAGGAGACUAUGUCAUCACCUGGUCUACACUUAUCUCUCUGAUAUCAUAACAUGACCAACUGUGCCAAGGAGACGAGGUCUCACCUGGUCUACACUUAACUCUGAUCUCACAGCCUAGCUGUCUCACUCAUAGUACCAGGAGCGACCUGGACUAUCUAGGGGCGACCUGGUAUGGCUCUCUCAUGCCAUAACUCUGUAUCUGCUCUCUGUCAAGGGCUAAGGAUCAUCCAACAUUCAUCCACAGGAACAACAACAUAUGCAAUGCAUCAUAUUCGUGAAUUCUAAUGCAACACAACCUAA